rnacentral:tRNA from 1 species
GGGGAUGUAGCUCAGUGAGAGUGCUUGCCUAACACACAGGAGGGUCCUGAGUUUGAUCCCCAGCAUUGCUU